rnacentral:rRNA from 1 species
CCUACGGGAGGCAGCAGUAGGGAAUAUUGCACAAUGGGGGAAACCCUGAUGCAGCAACGCCGCGUGGGGGAUGAAGGUCUUCGGAUUGUAAACCCCUUUCGUUAGAGAAGAUAAUGACGGUAUCUAACGAAUAAGCACCGGCUAACUCCGUGCCAGCAGCCGCGGUCAUACGGAGGGUGCAAGCGUUACUCGGAAUCACUGGGCGUAAAGAGCGCGUAGGCGGGGUAGCAAGUCGGAUGUGAAAUCCUAUGGCUUAACCAUAGAACUGCAUUUGAAACUGUUAUUCUAGAGUAUGGGAGAGGUAGGUGGAAUUCUUGGUGUAGGGGUGAAAUCCGUAGAGAUCAAGAGGAAUACUCAUUGCGAAGGCGACCUGCUGGAACAUAACUGACGCUGAGGCGCGAAAGCGUGGGGAGCAAACAGGAUUAGAUACCCGGGUAGUC